CAAACGUAAUCCCCCUUGGGUCCGCGGGUCGCGAUCUGGGCAGAACCCAGCCAGGUUACAACUAAAGGCAGAGCGCUCCGCAGUUUUGUUAAGGUUGCGACGGCGACCCUGGCUCUGCCACGAGUUGCGUACUGCUUUCCUGCGCAUGGCUUUGUCAAACCCCGCCUCCGCUCAUCACGCACGCAAAACACACGCGCACAAGCACGGUUUCCCUUGUUUUUACCAUCCUGGGCCCAACACCUCAUACAUCGGUGGCAUACUACUAGACUACUGGACUAUUGGUCGCCAAUCGGGGGCGGGUCCAAAUCAGCCGGAGCGAGGAGCGGCUUCGCGAGUGUGAGGUCGCAGGUGAAGACAGAAAUUUUGAGGAAAGCCAUAGUGGACUAUAAACCAGCACGCAACAGAUCCCAUGCCCAAAACUUCGGCCAUUAGGGGUGUUUCCAUGGGACGACGGGCGCCGAUUUUCCGAGUCCAGGCGUUUCCAUGGGGCGCUCGUCCCAUGAAAAUUUCCACGUCGCCCCUGAGCUCCGUGAACUCGCAAAGUCGGUUGUGCUUCCGUUAGCUGGCUCAGAGAUUGCGCACUGGUCUUGCCCUACUGCUUGCUAGACGCGUUUGCGCGCUUUGCGCCGCGCUUCUCGGCGUUGACUGCCUCGCUGAGACGACCUUGCUGUCACCAAUGUCGUCGGGUGCGGUGGAGCAACAGCGUUGUGCGUAGGGCGGACUACGCUCUAGUCGCCGAGGCGAGUCCCCGGGCUCGAGGCGAACGAUGGAGGAAUCGAGGUCGCGAUGGCGGGUAGAAUGAAGGCUGUCCACAGCACAGCCAGCACAGACAGGUUCAGGUGCAGCUGUAUGGCCUCUAGCAGGCCGUCAGGGAGCUCCAGGCCCUCAGGGGCAGGGGCGCCAGCGUCCAUUUCGCGCUCGCUGGAAGCUAGCUUCCAGCGAGCACUGCGGGGCCCUAAGAGCGAGCGCUAUGAGCUGCACUAAGCCUCAGCAGGUAAAGCUAUAGGCCAGUUGCACAACGGACACAACGGUGGCGCCCGAAGUCCCACAGAAACAGCAUAGAAACACGGCGCCCAUGGGAUGGGGCCAGGCGACGCUCGGCCCGCGGCCAUAGAAACACCCCUAUUGGGUGCCGUGGCCUGCACCUGCAACCGUGGCGCAUGCAAACUGAAAUUUACCAGUCAUCUAAUCGUCACAGCUCACAGCUACUUUAUCAUAGUACUACAUGCUGUGUGCAGCUCUCGUGAGAGAUCCUGCCUCCGCACAGCUUAGCGCAGCGUCAUAGCAAGUUGACGUGUUUUCGUGCUCACUUCAGCCGCUAGGGCUGUUAUUCCGGGAGUGGCAGGAAUUUUGGGAAUAGUUGGCAAUAUGGUCAGCCAGACCGAAGUUAUUGAUGCUGUCAACGCUGCUGCUACCUCUUUCGGCAUGGACGGCACGGAGUUAGAGCAGCUCCUGGGCUACGUGGCCUCAAUGCCGGCGGAUGAGUACCGCGACUUCACUAGUCCAGUGGCCGGUGUCCAGGACCCCAAGGCAAUCUUGGAGCUCGUGCGGAGUCGAUUUAAGGCUCAAGGUAGGAUAAUCUCCGUCUGUGGUGCCGUUAAGCCGUUUGGCUCGUGCUGGCCUUGGUGGUGAGCAGCAACCCUGCGUUCCUCUUGCGCAGGCGUGGCGUAUGGCUCUCAGCACAGUGUGAGCAUCACAGGUGAGUUGUGGGUCGACCAGCUCCCAAAAGAUCGGUUGGGCAGUGUCGCUCUGGGGGCGCUACCGCUGGAUUUUGGGCGGGUUGGCAUCUGUGCGCAACAGACAAGGUUGCCAAGGCUAUCACAUCACGGAAGUGGUGCAUCGCCUCACGGCCCACCCCUUGUACUUGUGGCCCGUCGCAGCGGUGCCGGCUGCCGGAGCUCCCGCGCCCACUGCGCAGCCGUACGUCGACAUGGCGAUGCUGAAGGACUUGCUGGCAGAGCAGGCGCGGUCGCUGAAGGACGCGCUGGUGGAGGAGGCGCGGUUGCAGAAGGACGCGCUAGCGGAGCAGGCGCGGUUGCAGAACGACGCGCUGGCACGGUGGCUGGCGGAGCAUGCGCGGUUGCAGAAGGACGCGCUUGCGGAGCAGGCGCGGUUGCAGAACGACGCGCUUGCGGAGCAGUCGCGGUUGCGGAGCGACGCGCUGGCGCGGUCGCUGGCGGAGCAGGCGCGGUCGCAGAAGGACGCGCUUGCGGAGCAGGCGCGGUUGCAGAACGACGCGCUGGCGCGGUCGCUGGCGGAGCAGGCGCGGUCGCUGAACGACGCGCUGGCGGAGCAGGCGCGGUUGCACAACGAUGCGCUGGCGCGGUCGCUGGCGGAGCAGGCGCGGUCGCUGAAGGACACGCUGGCGGAGCAAAAGCGGUCGCUGACGGCCAACGUGCAGGAAGGUCUGGUUGACAACGCGCCGCGGCGUCACCACCCUAACUGGGCUGCUCCCCGACGGCAGUGGGCUAUGGUAAGCUGGAUCCUUACCAGGCUUGGGUUGAAGGCUCUGACAGUGCACGACGGGUCGAUCUGCACGACAGUGUAGAGCUUCGUGGGGCUUCGUGUGCGGUGUUUUUCUGAUGCUGCCUUAUCUAUCGUUGACCGACAACCCGAACCCCCCUACCGUCUACCACUGAACUAAGUCAUGAAUGCCCCCGCCCCGGCCCUGCGUUGCUGUGUUGCCCCUGCGCCAUGCCUGACCGCGCCCGCUCUUUACGUGUUUGCCCCGCAUGUUCUGCCGGGUGGCGGUGGCGGUGGCGUGGCGUCUGCGCACCGAGCGCGCAGGUGAGUCGCGGCGGGUAUCGGCCAAAGUAUGCAGCCGCAGCUCUCACUUCUGCCAUGAUAGGGCAACGCACGCAUGACGAAUACAGUUUACGUGCUCGCAGAGCGUUUUCACUACUACGCGCCACAUGCGUCCGCUCUUCCUAGCUAAACGGGCACUGUCACUUUCACGGAGGGGUAACGAGCUGGCCGCUCAUUCGAUAAUAAUAUCGUCUGCUGGUCUUCGGUGCAUCCUGUACCGCUUUCCUAACCAUCCUGGCCCCCUCCCCCCCCCCCCGAUGCACUGGGAACCUUGCAGAGCAAGGCGGCAGUGCCCAAGGAGAAGAAGGUGUUGUGACCGUGUGGGAUAUUAGUGCUCAUAGCCGUCGGAGCGGCACCUGUGGCGCUGUCCGCGGUACUGCUGCUCGGCCAACAGUACUGCCGCGUGACAGUCGUGGCGGCUAUGCGCAUGCGGGCAGCGGCGUGAGCUAGCCUGUCGGCGCGUUGGGCUGGUGCCGCAUGCAUCGGCUUCCUGGAGGGCGUGGGUCAUCGCGGGUAUCAGGCCUGUGCAGUUUGCAGUGCGGGCGCCGCUGUGGCUCUUGGUGUGGGUCCCGACCUGUGUGCGCAGAGUGUCCGGGCUCGAUGGGUACUGGCCAGGUACGGUAGUGGUGCGUGGCUCUGUGCAUCUUCGUUGUGCAGGUGUUGCAGGCGGUCUGGCAUGGUGCGCUGCCGCCAGCGGGUGUGAGCGCUGAUUUGCUAUGGCUGGUGGGCGACAUCAGGUCCGUAGCGGGCAUGGCGCUCUUCUCCUGGAAGUCCCUGCUGGUCGCCCAGGAGCGCGGGGCUUGGAUAUUGGUGACUUGGCUCUGGUGCGGAAGGGUGGGCCGCGGUUGUUGUUGAAUGUCUGCAGUAACGACGACGGUGGCCCUGAGGCUGGAGGAAGUGGCUGUUAGGCCAUCAGCGUGAUUGCGUGUGGUCGCGUCGCAUUGGCACGACUUCCUGAUCUUAUUUUGUGACUUGAUCAACAGCUGUACAAGCAGGGCUGGAACAACACGCCUUUGCCUGGGCAGUACCAUUACUUGUGAAGUGUACCUGCCGAUGUCAGCCAGGCAUCGUUGUAUCAUGUGCAAACAAGUAGGUGUGGCAGCCAGUCAGACAUCUUUCAUUCUUUAUAUUGCAGCCGACCAAGAAUGGCAUAUAUACAGGCGAUGCAUUACUUGUAUGUGUGUGUGCGUGUGUGUGUGUGUGGAUGGAUGCGGUUUCGAGAUGGUGUGUACGUUUCAGCGUGCAAUCCUAUGCUUGAAAGUACCAACCGCUUAAUGUUACACCAGGACGGGUGACCGAACACGGCGCAGGUUAGUGCCCAUGCCGCUUUCGGGAUUCGAGUAGCAGCCUACGGGAAGAGCGUACAUCAUGCGCUCCGGUAUUUUGAAGUCAGUGUCUGUUGCUAACUUGGCAUGUAUUUGCUUUGUGGAUGCGUAAAGUGAGUCUGCGGAUUGUCUGUCUCGCGGUGCUUGUUGGAUGCAUGUAUGCGGAUGGGCGAUUCCCCCAAUGGGCGUCAGUCUUUGCACGCCCGGCAGUUUAUGAGGGCUGCGCUCUCAUGUUGUACUAUAUAAGCGGUUUCACAGUUAGGAACCCCAUUGCAGAGGUAGGUCCGAGCUACGCCUGCCAGUAGAGAUCAUUCGAGUGUAAACGCCCUGAGGAGUUCCUCAAGACUCAAUUUGCAUCAAGCUGGGCGCUCUUGAGGUGCAGACAUGUGGCCAUGCAGCGGCUUAAGAAGGAACUUGACACAGGCUUGGCGUGGGUACCACAGUGAUCCAGAAAGGAAAGCGAGCGUCAGCUGAUGCAUGUGCGAUGGGACAGUGGUAAGGCAGGUUGGUGAAGUCCCGUAGGGUGCAGCUGAUCCCCAGACCCCAGGAGAUGGCAAACAAUAUGCAACGGCAGCUGAUGCUACCGGUUGCGUCGUCAAUGCGGUCCACACGCGCACGCACCACUCCGCACCUCCGCUCCCCUACUGCUUCGCACCGCCACCCUGCGCCCACCGCUCAUCCCUACACCAAUUCUGGUUACCUUCCUAGGAACCGCCUGCAGGUGCGCUGCGGCUCCGCAUCGCGAGUGUGACGUUGCUGUGUGUCUGUGUGGUGCUAUUGCUUGGCCGGGCGCCCAGAGCGUGAGGAAUGCGCGUUUGCAAACUUCCAGCCAGCCAGCAACUUGUCGGGGCUUGUGAAGUGGUGAUGAUUGACGAGGCCGUCAGGCCAAGUACGGGCAGGGCAAGGCCUCGGCUAGCCUCGGGGGGCACAGUCUCGCGGCAAGCCUGUGCGUGCGGCCAGCUCUGAAAUGCAGUGCGCCCAAAGACCCCAGGAUGCAACAAGCAGCAGGCAGAGGAGAUGCGAAGAGAAGUGGCGCAGUUGGCACUUGGCAGCGUUAAGCGCUGUGUCAGUGGAUAUGGCAGAUGCUUAAUAAUGCGCUGUUCCUCUCGCCUGCAUCAUGUUGGUAGCUUGUCGGUACUGUAACUUUGGUGUUCGACCAGCCGCGCGCUCAUGGGACCCUGCCAUCUACAGGAGGGUGGGAAAUCCGGAAAGUUGUGGAUUGAGUCUGGUCGUACGGUUGCGGAAACCGGGCUGUGGCAGCAACUUAGUUGUGGUUGGCGGGGGUUCCAAGUUUAGGGCGGCGGCCUGUGCCGACAACUAAGAUUGGGCCGGGGGGCCGUGUCAGAUGCGGCCGGGGCCCCCGCGCGGCAACUCAGAUGCGGUCCGACGCCAUUGAAGAUUGCGCGCGGGGGAGGUAUCCACAACCUAGUUUCCCGACAUCAGAUGGGAUAUCCCCUCAGAAAGGAGCUUAGGAGAACACAGGACGGUCGGGGGAUUCACAGGAUGGUGAGUGGAUGGCGGGCCGGGUGAUGGCGGUGGAUAGCGGCACCUGCUGACAACCCGGCAGCUGGGGAGGGAUUGCCUGCCUAAAUGUUCAUAUACAUAUUUAAUCUGCUGAAGUAUUGAUAUAUGCUCGCAUUUCCCAGCAAGGCUUCUGGCAGCUCCCCUCUCUUGGUUCAGUCCCUGAACUGAGCGAGUUAGAAGCUCCAUAGUAAGGGAUAUGGUUGACAGUAUGUAACACUACAGGUCCAUUAAAACUGUAGGCAGUUUGGGGGUGUUUGCCAAAGACGAACCACUGGUUCGCGGCAGCUUGCUGGCAACUUUGCCCAUUUAAGGGCGCCCGGGGUGUCUACGAUCGUUCCAACUGCUGAGUGGUACUCAAUUAAAGCACUGCCUAGGACUAUAAAGCGUGCUGAAGGAACUGCUGAUCACCAGAGUUCUUGCUUCCUUGCCUUCUUUCAAGGCUUCGCACACGAAUAUAGUUUGUUGCAUAGAGCCUGUGUCUGCAGUCUGUGUCUGCAGCCUAUAUGUAAGAGAGUUGACGGGGAUGGAAGCGGGCUGCCCGUUCUUGGGCUACCCGGCUUCCGCUGUGCGUGCCGCCAUGCAGCCGUGCACCUACUACCGUGCAAACACUACACAACGAUGCUUGGCUCUCAAAACCAGAUAUGAGCGCGCGCCAACUGAGUUGUGCAGCGGGGCCGCCCUGCUAAACUCAGAUUGGGAUGCGUGUCAACCGAGUUGCGCGGCGGGACUGGUCUCCCAAACUUGGAUUGGGGCGGGCGGCAACUGAGAUGCGCGGCGGGACCGGUCCCCCAAACUCAGAUUGGGGCGGGUGGCAGCUGAGAUGCGCAGCGGCACCCCUGCCGCCAACCAAGAUGCCGCCCGGCGGCAACCAAGAUGCCGCGCGAGACAGAUGCCCGACCAGACCCACCCCCCAAGAUGCCCCCCGGCGGCAACUUUCUCACCCUUCCACAAGCAGCAGGCAGAGGAGAUGCGAAGAGAAGUGGCGCAGUUGGCACUUGGCAGCGUUAAGCGCUGUGUCAGUGGAUAUGGCAGAUGCUUAAUAAUGCGCUGUUCCUCUCGCCUGCAUCAUGUUGGUAGCUUGUCGGUACUGUAACUUUGGUGUUCGACCAGCCGCGCGCUCAUGGGACCCUGCCAUCUACUGGGAUUUGAGAAUUAGCUGCGCCCUACGGGACCUCGCCAAGACGCCAACCUGCCUAAACCCUGUCCCAUCGCACACUCAUCCCUAUACCACAUCACACUGCCCACCCCCACCCCACGCAUUUCCCACAUUCGCCGCCCUGCCCGUCUGACCGCAGAUACCCAGCUGCCGAUGGCGGGUGCAAACCGUGGCAGUACCCUGGUCCCAGUGCUAUUCUGUAUCUUCCUGUCUGCCCGGCAGAAAUUUGCCCUGUAAGAGCCUAUGGCGCCAUACUUUGUUUAUGAAAGCGUGAAAACAGCAAGAUUCUGAGGGGUCUCCAUAAGAAUCGCAGAAGACAUUUCGGGGUGACUGAGGUUCCCGAGAAUACUCUACGGUCGUGUCCUGCUGGCACCAUAGAGACACACCAAAGUAGAGCAGCCUUCUACCAGGGUAGUGACUCCGUGGGUGCGUGCGCGUGAGCGUGGGUGAGGGCGCCUGGGGUUUGCAUCUACACUUAUUCCCAAGAUGCUAUGGCAGAACCCAGCCAGGUUACAACGCAAGGAAGUGUGCUACGCAGUUUUGUUAUGGUUACGACGGCGACCCUGGCUCUGCCACGAGUUGCGUACUGCUUUCCUGCGUAUGGCCCUUUGUCAAACCCCGCCUCCGCUCAUCAUGCACGCAAAGCACACGCGCACAAGCACACACGCGCGCAUCCCGGGUCAGAGAUAAAACCACACGGACGCUCACACCAACAUCAUCUCGCCUCCUCACACAUCCUGCAACGUACAGCUCGAGCAACCAAGUACUUGUCACAAGCUUCACUCGCACCAUGCACCACACGCCCUGGCGACAUUGGCUACAAUUGGUUAUGGUACAGCUCCCUUCCCAUCCUCCACGCCACUCCUCCAC
rnacentral:lncRNA from 1 species